GGAGGGAUCAUUACCGAGUUUACAACUCCCAAACCCAAUGUGAACGUUACCAAACUGUUGCCUCGGCGGGAUCUCUGCCCCGGGUGCGUCGCAGCCCCGGACCAAGGCGCCCGCCGGAGGACCAACCAAAACUCUUAUUGUAUACCCCCUCGCGGGUUUUUUUAUAAUCUGAGCCUUCUCGGCGCCUCUCGUAGGCGUUUCGAAAAUGAAUCAAAACUUUCAACAACGGAUCUCUUGGUUCUGGCAUCGAUGAAGAACGCAGCGAAAUGCGAUAAGUAAUGUGAAUUGCAGAAUUCAGUGAAUCAUCGAAUCUUUGAACGCACAUUGCGCCCGCCAGUAUUCUGGCGGGCAUGCCUGUCCGAGCGUCAUUUCAACCCUCGAACCCCUCCGGGGGGUCGGCGUUGGGGAUCGGCCCUCCCUUAGCGGGUGGCCGUCUCCGAAAUACAGUGGCGGUCUCGCCGCAGCCUCUCCUGCGCAGUAGUUUGCACACUCGCAUCGGGAGCGCGGCGCGUCCACAGCCGUUAAACACCCAACUUCUGAAAUGUUGACCUCGGAUCAGGUAGGAAUACCCGCUGAACUUAAGCAUAU
rnacentral:rRNA from 4 species